GACAGGAUCCCACUGUGUCACCCAGGCUGAAGUGCAGUGGCACCAUUAUAGCUCACUGCAGCCUUGAACUCUUGGGCUCAAGUGAUCCUCCUACCUCAGCCUCCCGAGUAGCUGGGACUACAGAAAUGUCAAUUGCCUACCUGAUGGCUGUGAAAAACAGAAAGAAGAAACAAAGACAUAUCUGUAUGUAAAGGUUGAGCUUGAAAAAAGAAAACUACUCUUGACGCUGAAGAACGCAAUCCAACAUGAAAGAAUGCUUAUUUCAAGUUUUACCUGAAUCUACCUAGAGCUGAAUUUCUUAUCUAUACUUUACUACAGAUAUUCUGCUUUGUGCAGAUCUACAAUGGAUCAUUAAAGUCAAAGGACAAUUACUUAUCUUUCUACUCCUCCCAGUACCCAAGACCUGAGAGUGAGAUAUUAAAUUCGUCCUUAGAUCUUU
rnacentral:lncRNA from 1 species